rnacentral:lncRNA from 1 species
ACAAUUUGUGAUGUUAAAAAACAUAUUUCCCUGACUGGCAGGGUCCUAAAGGGGAAGCUGGAACAGCGGGACCUGUGGGACCAAAGGGAGAUCAGGGCUUCCAAGGAUCCCAAGGAUUCCCAGGACAACCGGGUCCUCCAGGUUUCUCGGGAAAAGCAGGUCCUCCGGGCCCUCCAGGACCACAAGCUGAGAAGGGUAGUGCUGGAGUUCAGGGCCCACAGGGACCCACAGGUCCCCCAGGAUCAACCGGGGCCCCAGGCAUGCCUGUGAGUCUCAGAAUCCUAUGGAUAGACACCUUUUAAAGCAGACAUUCAGCCUGUGUUGUCA